UCAUUCUCUACCUGGGAGAACUUGCCGUCUAUGAAAGUUAAGAGUUGCAGAAGUCUUAUCAAAAUUGAAUGAAAGAAGAAAACUACAAGAAAAUGACCUAAAGGAAAGGGAAUAAAAGAAAACAAGAUCUUUUCUGGACGUUCAGUAUUAAAAGUUUUCAUGCUCAUUGAAAUGAAAAUUACAAAAUCAGAACUACAUAGUAGAUUUUGCAAGCAUGCAGCCGGAAGUGUAAGGGCUGGUGGACUUUAGGGGCCUAUGACUAGGAGACAGACUGGAAAACCAGAGACAGUACUGUGAACAUAAGCUACCUUUGCCAAAUAAAUUCUGGAACUUACUUCUUGAACUGAGAAGUUCAGAGAUGUUUUGGGACAGGACGCCAGACAGUUUGGAAUGACUUACUUGAUCUUACUGAAAAAAAAAUACAAUGUCUUUGAUUACUCUUCUCAGAGUUAGUCUCAUUUCCUACUUUAAUUAUUAAGGUUUUCCCUUUGCAUAUUAUUGUAUACUUGAACAUUCAUAAUAAUUCUUAAUUUUUUCAUAAAAAUGUAUUUAUCUGCAUGUAUGUGUGUACGUGUGUGUUGUUUGUGCAUGUGUGUCUCUAUGUUUUUAUAAAUAUCCCCUAAAUAGAUUGUGGUAGCUUGUUUCUUGUUUUCAGUUGGCUACCAUCAAUUUCUCUCCUCCCUGUAUCUAUCUAUUGCUCUACUCCCUUGAAUCUGGGCUCAUUUGUGACAGAUUUGCCAAAUAGAAUAUAGUGGAAGUGACGCUGUAUGACUUCCAACACUUCCCACACUUUGAAGCUUCUACCUGGGUCUCCUGGAAUUCCUGGUCUUGAAAUGCCACGCUGUUUGAAACCCAAGCCACACUAUGGCUAUGUGGAGAGACAAAAGAGGGAGAAAUCCUGACCAGCCCACAGGUAUUCUAGCUAUUCUAGUCUAGGAGCCAGGCAUGUGAGUAAAGAAGCUUUCAGAAUUCCAGCCUCAUCUGUCAUAUUUCUGCAACCAUUUGAAGGACACAAAAGUGAGUAACGCUCAGCUUCGUCAACCCCCAGAAAAAUGGAACAUAACAAUAAAUGACUGUUUUAAGCUACUAAGUUUUGGUGUGGUGUGUUACACACAGCAAUAAAUAACUGGAACAUACAAUAGACAUCCGAAGACAGACCUAACAUUUC
rnacentral:lncRNA from 10 species